rnacentral:tRNA from 1 species
GCCUGGCUGGCUCAGUCAGUGGAACAUGGGACUCUAGAUCUCAAGGUCAUGAGUUCAAGCCCCAUGUUGAGCA